rnacentral:rRNA from 1 species
GAUGAACGCUGGCUACAGGCUUAACACAUGCAAGUCGAGGGGAAACGCCGGGGAAGCUUGCUUCCCCGGGCGUCGACCGGCGCACGGGUGAGUAACGCGUAUCCAACCUGCCUCUGACUGAGGGAUAACCCGUCGAAAGUCGGCCUAAUACCUCAUGGCAUCGUCUGCGGGCAUCCAACGACGAUUAAAGAUUUCAUCGGUCAGAGAUGGGGAUGCGUCUGAUUAGCUUGUUGGCGGGGUAACGGCCCACCAAGGCGACGAUCAGUAGGGGUUCUGAGAGGAAGGUCCCCCACAUUGGAACUGAGACACGGUCCUAACUCCUACGGGAGGCAGCAGUGAGGAAUAGUGGUCAAUGGGCGAGAGCCUGAACCAGCCAAGUAGCGUGCAGGAUGACGGCCCUAUGGGUUGUAAACUGCUUUUAUGCGGGGAUAAAGUGAGGGACGUGUCCUUCAUUGCAGGUACCGCAUGAAUAAGGACCGGCUAAUUCCGUG